rnacentral:lncRNA from 1 species
CAAUUGUAUGCCUCCUAGUAGAAUGGUGAAAAUUAGAAAGACUGAUGAUUCCAGUUGUUCGGGAAGAUGUGGAGUACUGGAACUCUGAUGCCUUGUUGCUGUCUUUGUUUAGUGUUGGUAUAACAGAAUACCUGAGGCUGGAUAUUUUACUUUAAAAAAGAGGUUUAUUGGGCUUAUGAUUGUGGUGACUAGAAGAGUCAAGAUUGGGCAGCUGCAUCUGAUGAAGGCCUCAUGUUGCUUCAACUCAUGACAGAAAGCAGAAAGAGAGAGUGUGUGUAAAGAUCACAUUGUGAGAGAGGAUGCAAGAGAGAGAAGCCAAGGAAGCCAAACUCAUUUUUAACAACUUGCUAUCAUGGGAACUAAUUCAUUCUCUCAGAGCAAGAACUACUCACCUCUGUAGGAGGGCAUUCAUCUAUUCUUGAGGGAUCCAUCUCCCUCACCCAAACACCUUCCACUAGCCUACCUCCCAACACCACCACACUGGGGAUAAAAUUUCAAUAUGCAUUCCAGUAGGGACAGACCACAUCCAAACCAUUGCAGUUGGUGAAAAUGCAAAAUGUACAAGCACUUUGGAAAACAGAUUGGCAGUUUCUUAUGUAGUUAAACAUAUAUUUACCAUAUGACUCUACAUUUACACUAAAAAAUAGUUACACGACAGAAAUAAUGAGUCCACAAAAAAGCAUUCAUAGCAGCUUUAUGCAUAGCAGCCAAAAAAUGAAACAGCCCAAGAGUUCAACAACAGGUUAACUGACAAACAAAUUGUGGUACCUAUAUUUACAUAAUAGAACCCUGCUUUGGUAUAAAAUAAACCAUGGAUACAUGCAAAAUGUAGAUAAAUCUCAAAUACAUUAUUCUGAGUGAAAGACGUCAGACCCCAAAAUUACAAAUGGUAUGAUUCAACAUAUAUGAAAUUCUAAAAACACAAAACUGUAGUUACAGAAAGCAAAACAAUGGUGGCUUGGGGUAUCAGAUGAGGAGGAUGGACUUGAAAAGAGCACAGGAUGGACUUUUGGAGUGAUAAAAAUCUGUAUCAUGGUUAUAGUGAUGAUUAGAUGAGUGAAUGAAUUUGUCAAAAUUCAUUUGUCUGUACACUUAAA